rnacentral:rRNA from 1 species
GUAGUCUGCAACUCGACUACAUGAAGCUGGAAUCGCUAGUAAUCGCGAAUCAGAAUGUCGCGGUGAAUACGUUCCCGGGUCUUGUACACACCGCCCGUCACACCAUGGGAGUCGGAUAUGCCCGAAGUCAGUGACCCAACCAUAUGGAGGGAGCUGCCGAAGGUGGAGCCGAUAACUGGGGUGAAGUCGUAACAAGGUACC